rnacentral:rRNA from 1 species
AUUGAACGCUGGCGGCAUGCUUUACACAUGCAAGUCGAACGGUAACAGGCCGCAAGGUGCUGACGAGUGGCGAACGGGUGAGUAAUGCAUCGGAACGUGCCCAGUCGUGGGGGAUAACGCAGCGAAAGCUGCGCUAAUACCGCAUACGAUCUGUGGAUGAAAGCGGGGGACCGAAAGGCCGCGCGCGGUUGGAGCGGCCGAUGUCAGAUUAGGUAGUUGGUGGGGUAAAGGCCCACCAAGCCAACGAUCUGUAGCUGGUCUGAGAGGACCACCAGCCACACUGGGACUGAGACACGGCCCAGACUCCUACGGGAGGCAGCAGUGGGGAAUUUUGGACAAUGGGCGCAAGCCUGAUCCAGCAAUGCCGCGUGCAGGAAGAAGGCCUUCGGGUUGUAAACUGCUUUUGUACGGAACGAAACGGCUCUGGUUAAUACCUGGGGCUAAUGACGGUACCGUAAGAAUAAGCACCGGCUAACUACGUGCCAGCCGCCGCUGUAACAC